rnacentral:rRNA from 1 species
UCGGCCGGGGAUUAGUGGCGAACGGGUGAGUAACACGUGGGUAAUCUGCCCUGCACUCUGGGAUAAGCCCGGGAAACUGGGUCUAAUACCGGAUAUACACUGGUGGUCGCAUGGCCUGCUGGUGGAAAGCUUUUGCGGUGUGGGAUGGGCCCGCGGCCUAUCAGCUUGUUGGUGGGGUAGUGGCCUACCAAGGCGACGACGGGUAGCCGGCCUGAGAGGGUGACCGGCCACACUGGGACUGAGACACGGCCCAGACUCCUACGGGAGGCAGCAGUGGGGAAUAUUGCACAAUGGGCGGAAGCCUGAUGCAGCGACGCCGCGUGAGGGAUGACGGCCUUCGGGUUGUAAACCUCUUUCAGCAGGGAAGAAGCGCAAGUGACGGUACCUGCAGAAGAAGCACCGGCUAACUACGUGCCAGCAGCCGCGGUAAUACGUAGGGUGCAAGCGUUGUCCGGAAUUAUUGGGCGUAAAGAGCUCGUAGGCGGUUUGUCACGUCGAUUGUGAAAGCCCAGGGCUUAACCCUGGGUCUGCAGUCGAUACGGGCAGGCUAGAGUUCGGUAGGGGAGACUGGAAUUCCUGGUGUAGCGGUGAAAUGCGCAGAUAUCAGGAGGAACACCGGUGGCGAAGGCGGGUCUCUGGGCCGAUACUGACGCUGAGGAGCGAAA